AGUCGAGCGCCCCGCAAGGGGAGCGGCAGACGGGUGAGUAACGCGUGGGUAUCUACCUAGUGGUACGGAAUAGCCCAGGGAAACUUGGAGUAAUACCGUAUACGCCCGAAAGGGGAAAGAUUUAUCGCCAUUAGAUGAGCCCGCGUUGGAUUAGCUAGUUGGUGGGGUAACGGCCCACCAAGGCGACGAUCCGUAGCUGGUCUGAGAGGAUGAUCAGCCACACUGGGACUGAGACACGGCCCAGACUCCUACGGGAGGCAGCAGUGGGGAAUAUUGGACAAUGGGCGCAAGCCUGAUCCAGCCAUGCCGCGUGAGUGACGAAGGUCUUCGGAUUGUAAAGCUCUUUUGGCGGGGACGAUAAUGACGGUACCCGCAGAAUAAGCCCCGGCUAACUUCGUGCCAGCAGCCGCGGUAAUACGAAGGGGGCUAGCGUUGUUCGGAAUUACUGGGCGUAAAGCGCACGUAGGCGGACUCUUAAGUCAGGGGUGAAAUCCCGGGGCUCAACCUCGGAACUGCCUUUGAUACUGUGAGUCUCGAGACCGGAAGAGGUGAGUGGAAUUCCUAGUGUAGAGGUGAAAUUCGUAGAUAUUAGGAAGAACACCAGUGGCGAAGGCGGCUCACUGG
rnacentral:rRNA from 1 species